GAUGAAGAACGCAGCGAAAUGCGAUAAGUAAUGUGAAUUGCAGAAUUCAGUGAAUCAUCGAAUCUUUGAACGCACAUUUCGCCCGCCAGUAUUCUGGCGGGCAUGCCUGUUCGAGCGUCAUUUCAACCCUCAGGCCCCCAGUGCCUGGUGUUGGGGAUCGGCCCAGCCUUCCUGUAAGGCCGCCGGCCCCGAAAUCUAGUGGCGGUCUCGCUGUAGUCCUCCUCUGCGUAGUAGCACAACCUCGCAGUUGGAACGCGGCGGUGGCCAUGCCGUUAAACACCCCACUUCUGAAAGUUGACCUCGGAUCAGGUAGGAAUACCCGCUGAACUUAAGCAUAUCAAUAAGCGGAGGA
rnacentral:misc_RNA from 1 species